rnacentral:rRNA from 1 species
UACGGAAGGCAGCAGUGGGGAAUAUUGCACAAUGGGCGCAAGCCUGAUGCAGCCAUGCCGCGUGUAUGAAAAGGCCUUCGGGUUGUAAAGUACUUUCAGUCGUGAGGAAGGUGUUAAGGUUAAUAACCUUAGCAAUUGACGUUAGCGACAGAAGAAGCACCGGCUAACUCCGUGCCAGCAGCCGCGGUAAUACGGAGGGUGCGAGCGUUAAUCGGAAUUACUGGGCGUAAAGGGCACGCAGGCGGUUAAUUAAGUUGGAUGUGAAAUCCCCGGGCUUAACCUGGGAAUGGCAUUCAAGACUGGUUAGCUAGAGUCUUGUAGAGGGGGUAGAAUUCCAUGUGUAGCGGUGAAAUGCGUAGAGAUGUGGAGGAAUACCGGUGGCGAAGGCGGCCCCUGGGACAAAGACUGACGCUCAUGUGCGAAAGCGUGGGGAGCAAACAGGGAUUAGAUACC